rnacentral:rRNA from 1 species
AGCUCCAAUAGCGUAUAUUAAAGUUGUUGCAGUUAAAAAGCUCGUAGUCGUGUUUAUUUCUGGAUUUGUGUGUUGGUUGGAAUUUGAUUUCAGCUCGAUAUGUAAUUUAGGAAUCUUUGUUUGAUUUUGUUAGUUUCUUGAUUGAGAUUAUCAUUUAUUAGACAUCUUUUACUGUGAGAAAAUUAGAGUGUUCAAGGCAAUCAUUCAUGAUAUGAAUAGUUUAGCAUGGAAUAAUGAGAUAAGACUUUUUUAAUAGUUUAGGCAAUAUUUGAAAAGUAAUGACUGAAAGAAGCAGUUGGGGGUGCUAGUAUUCAACGGCCAGAGGUGAAAUUCAAUGACCCGUUGACGACUAACUUUUGCGAAAGCGUUCACCAAGGAUGUGUUCUUUGAUCAAGAACGA